GUUAAACUGCGAGUUCUGGUGGCGUCCACUGACUGGAGUGAGAAGUUAUAGACCGCCUAUGGGUAAAUCAUCACGUACUUCCGCCUUUCUGCGUCCAUAAAAACCGAGGACUCAGCCACACUCAGACACACACGUCCGGACUACCCGGAUGCGGAAAGGAGUUACCCACCCUGGGUCUCCUGAGAGCCAUUUUGUAGCUCAGUGAAGCUCCUCUCCGCCUUGCUUCACCCUCCACUUUUCUGCAUACCUCAGUCUCCCUGGAUGCGGGAAAACAACUCCGGACCCACCGAAUGGCUAAAAAAAAAGCAUAGGACUUUGGGUUAAGAAAAAGCAACGCAAAACAAAAAAAAUGAAGUUUGCCUGCAAUAGACAGCCUCAGGAGCUCAAGAAUAAAAUUCGCUGGAGAAUAUCAUGCCAUAUUCUUGCCUGUGGACCUGGACCUGGACUAUCCUCAGGGAGAUCUUUCUCAAAUUUAAAGUCCUCUGAAGAAUGA
rnacentral:lncRNA from 1 species